rnacentral:rRNA from 1 species
UUUACAUAGAGUUUGAUCCUGGCUCAGGACGAACGCUGGCGGUGCGCCUAAUGCAUGCAAGUCGAACGGGCGAAGGGGCUUCGGCCCCCUAGCUAGUGGCAGACGGCUGAGUAACACGUAAGUAACCUACCCCGAAGCGGGGGAUAAACUCGAGAAAUCGGGUCUAAUACCCCGUAAGUUCUUCGCACUUCGAUGCGAAGUAGAAAGGUUUCGACCGCUUUGGGAGGGGCUUGCGGCCUAUCAGGUAGUUGGUGGGGUAAUGGCCUACCAAGCCUCAGACGGGUAACCGGUGUGAGAGCACGAUCGGUCAGAGGGGGACUGAGACACGGCCCCCACUCCUACGGGAGGCAGCAGCAGGGAAUCUUGCGCAAUGGGCGAAAGCCUGACGCAGCGACACCGCGUGGGGGAAGAAUGCUUUCGAGUUGUAAACCCCUUUUCCCGGGGAAGAGAGAGGACGGUACCCCAG